rnacentral:rRNA from 1 species
AGCGAACGCUGGCGGCAGGCCUAACACAUGCAAGUCGAACGAAGUCUUCGGACUUAGUGGCGGACGGGUGAGUAACACGUGGGAACGUGCCUUUAGGUUCGGAAUAACUCAGGGAAACUUGUGCUAAUACCGAAUGUGCCCUUCGGGGGAAAGAUUUAUCGCCUUUAGAGCGGCCCGCGUCGGAUUAGCUAGUUGGUGAGGUAAAGGCUCACCAAGGCGACGAUCAGUAGCUGGUCUGAGAGGAUGAUCAGCCACAUUGGGACUGAUACACGGCCCAAACUCCUACGGGAGGCAGCUGUGGGGAAUCUUGCGCAAUGGGCGAAAGCCUGACGCAGCCAUGCCGCGUGAAUGAUGAAGGUCUUAGGAUUGUAAAAUUCUUUCACCGGGGACGAUAAUGACGGUACCCGGAGAAGAAGCCCCGGCUAACUUCGUGCCAGCCGCCGCCGUAAUAC